rnacentral:rRNA from 1 species
GAUGAACGCUGGCGGCGUGCUUAACACAUGCAAGUCGAGCGAAAAGGCCAGGCUUUUGCGGGUCGCUCGUUUGCCGAACGGGUGCGUAUAACAUGGGUAUCAUGCCCCUAUUUUAGGGGUAUAUUCUGGAAACUGGGGAUAUAAUCGGGUAGAAGUUCCUGCAGCAUGUGGUGGGUUGGAAAAUUUCGGCGUUGGUGGAUGGUAUAGCGGCUUAUCAGCUGGUUGGUGAGGUAGUGGCUUACAAAGGCUUUGACGGGUAGCCGGCCUGAGAGGGUGACCGGCCACAUUGGGACUGAGAUACGGCCCAGACUCCUACGGGAGGCAGCGGUGGGGAAUAUUGCACAAUGGGCCGAAGCCAGAUGCAGCAACGCCGCGUGCGGGAUGACGGCCUUCGAGUUGUAAACCACUGUCGCCUGUGACGAAGCGUGAGUGACGGUAAUGGGUAAAGAAGCACCGGCUAACUACGUG